rnacentral:lncRNA from 1 species
CUGGUUUUACUGUAAGUUUUGUUUGGGAACAUAAUAACAUAAUGAAUAACAGACAAUGCAUGAGAGUUUUUCCAAUUCCUAGUCUCGCCAUACCUGAUUAAAAGGACAAAUAUCAGUUCAUUUAAGGAUUGAUUUGCUUAUUCAUGUCAAUUAGGUCUGCUACCAACGCAGUCAAAUAUAUCUUGCUGGUCAUACUGGAUAUCGGCACUUUUCAGUUUAUUGCACAUGGGUAUCACCUCUGGUUUCUUGAGGAAUUUAUUGAUUUGUAGGUUCGCAGCUAUGAGCUGAUGGGCUACCAGUCUGUCUCCACCUGGAAGGCCUUUAAUUCUUACAUCCCAGUUGGUUUGGUGAGACCCCUUCGCACCCUCUCAGAGGUAACAUUCAGAUAUCUGUAAUUCAUUUCCCCCGUUGUGUUUCCCCCCAGUGAUGUGUAGUUUCCCUCUGUAUGUUUUUUGCUCUUUAGGUUGAGGUGUUGCUCAGUGAGGAAGAGGAGGAGAUCGCUCAUUUGUCCUUCACUGCUCCUGAGGCUCUGCUGGGACCCCCCAUUGCAAACCCCUUCAGAAUCUUUGUAACGCCAUCUCUCUGCAUGAGCCUUUAUUUUGUGUGUAUACUUAUAAUUGGAUUGACCAUAUUUAUCUGCUCAUGUCCUUUAGAACCCUGCUCCAGGCCUGCGGGCGUACAAACCCACACUGAAAUACUUGGAGGGGGACCUGGAGUGGCACCUGUGCCCACUGCCCAGGUAUCAAACGUGUGAACACGACACGAGUGGCAGAAAGAUAAAGUUAGCAAAGCAAAAGGUAGAUUUGACUUGAAGCAGUGCUGGAUUUAGCAUUUUAGCAGCACGUUGUUUCUGGAUUAAAGCUUCAAAUCUGUUGCCCACAGGACGUGAUUGUAGGACUCAUGACCUGGAAGAACUUUGACUGGAUUACCUUAAACUGUCUCUCCAUGCGACCUGCUGCCACCAAUAAUGUCCUCAGGUCUCCACAAAACCCACCCAGAAUGUAAAUAUAUUUUUUUAAGUCAUGCCAUCUUUUCGAUGGAUUUCCAGAUGGAAAUCCAGUAUUAUUUCUGCAACUUCCACAAAUUGUCCAUGUGGUGCUUCCACUCUCUGCAUUUAAUUUUUUUUAAAUAGUCAUUUGACAUCUGUAAUCCAAAUUAUAUUGUUUUGACAAGUUAUUGUAAUGUUCCAAUUCCGAAGAAUUGUUAUCAUUCCCAUCUGAUGAACGUAUGAAGAUUUCAGCAUUUGUCAUUUUUCCAGCUAUGUAAAAGAUCCCAACAUGUAUCGUAUCGUGAACAAAUCUCGUGAUCCGUAUCGUAUUGUGAGGGCCACGCCACUACCCGCCCUACCCACCUGUGUCUUCGUUCACCACUGAUUGUGUUAGAUUCAAGGCGUCCUUGAUGAGGAUUUGAGUAUGUUUAAUAUGAUUUCUGGGAAUUCUCUGACCGUUCCUUCCUUUAAUAUGGAUGUCUGCAGUGAUCGCAGCCUCUUGCUUCUUCUUUUGUGGCUGUGACUGUAGUGCCAUCAGGUGUCAGUGAUCUGUCCAGAUUAGGGGCUUCUCUGAAACCUUAUCAGCAUUUUCGUUCCGUUGUUUUUCCCUCCGGCCUUUUUAUCAUUUCUGUUUAUUCUCUGAUAGCAAACCACCUUAAGCAGCUGUUUCAUCCAAGUAAGAUGGUGCAUGUAUCUUGAUUUGGUAAGCGUGUGGUCCGGCUCUCCAGGGGGAGAUAAAUGAAAAUGUGUUUGUCCUCUGUAGGUCUGUCGACUCCAGCACUGAUCUACUUCCAUCCAUGACACCUCCUCCUCUGACGGCUCCUCCUGAUGAUCUGCUCCCAACAGCAGACACAGCGUAAGACCAUCAGACCUAAAGAUUGAUGAUCCUCUAUCAUGUUUCCAUAUCAUUGCUGUGAUAUAUGACGCGAGCAGGUGCCAAGGCUCGGCAGUUCAGCUAACACCAGAGAUGAUAAGAGCACAGUUCUUGCGUGGGGAAGCUCCGGUCUCCAAUAGCAACCGUGACAACGGAGCAACAGGAAGGUGAGUCUAACGCCAUGAUGGAUGCCUGAAAGAUGUCGUUAUGUUGGGUGCAAAGGAGGCUGAAGUUUGCUUACGUUUUCCUCACCAUAAAUAGGAGCACUGUUGAAGUAUAUUUAUAUAAAUACUCAUGACAAAUAACACUUCUGGAGGGGUUCUGAGACAGGAAGUCUCAGGAUAAACACAAAUGGGG